rnacentral:SRP_RNA from 14 species
GGCUCCCCCGCCGCAUCAGAACUGGCGGCGGGUUUGCCGCGCCUCUGCAAAAGCUUCCCGAGCUGCACCCCGACGAAGAGGGCACCGCCCGCAAGGCUGGCAACGG